UCAGUCCCUGGUCCCUGGAGAGGGGAGCUGGUUCUCUCUGCAUCCAGUGGGAGAGCCUGAAUAGACCUGCAGGAGGACAAACUUCUGCAUAUGUAGGCCUGGUGGCAUUCCUCUCACCUUACAGGUGAGAAAAUUGAGUCGAGGAACACGCCUGAGGUCCCACCUCUGACAGUGACAGGCCAGGACUGUAACUUUCCUUCAUCCAAACCUGGUACCUACAUGACUCAAGCAAGGGAAAGGUCAGGGCACCCCUGCCUCCCACUGGCCUUAGAGCAGCCACACCCAUGAUCCCGAGCCUUUUGGACUCCGAGAUGCAGCAGAUCAAAGGCCUUGUGAUAAAAGUGGAGACUUAGUUUCUCAUGUCCCUAGGAGGAGCAAAGAACAAGGCUUAUAAAUAGGAUCAGGGUCUUUGCAAACAACAGUAGCAACAACACAUUUGUCUGAGAGGCCAGGUUGAGAAUUGGUGCUUGCUCCAUCUUGUGCCCUAGAGACAAUCCUCGGACUGCUGAACUUCUCCACUCUCACGGCAUUGCCCAUCAGGAGGGAUUGCAGUUCUGAACAUGACGGAUCAGAUGCAAUAUCAGAGGAGCUUCACGUCUGCAGGCCUGUCCCAGGCUCUGGGGACCUUAUAGAGGAUGCUGCUGAAUUCCCUAGCUUGGCUUACAGAGGAGCAAAAAGAUUCCGUUGAUUUCCAGCCUCAUGUUUAGCCACCUGUUAUCAAAGCCUGCCCCGAGAGAUGUUCAUCUCCUGAUGUCUAUGUGGGGCCCAGGUGGCUGCAAUCAAAAUGACAGGUCAGCUCAGAGGUUAGGUUGCUGGCUGAGUGGCUAUUGUUUAUCCCAGUUUCAAUUUCAUCGUCAUGACAACCCACACAAGUCAUUGUCCCAGCCGAUGCCUCUGUGUGACGGAGUGUGAGGAACGUGCUUCGUCCCAGCUCGCUCUGCCUGACGGACGAGGAGCCGUCUCUGCUCUCGGGUGGCUGCUCCUUUCUUUCCUCCACGUGUUCACAGUGUUCUUAUUUUCUCCACCACUUACCCAGAAAUUGUUUCUGAAAAGUGUCUCAUUUCAACUGAAUUUGGCGCAGAGCGAUUGGGAACAUUGCUCGGCUGGGAUUUGCUCUCUCUCCUCAGCAGUUUUGCAGGCCUUAUCUCACUCCUGUGGGCUUCCAGAACUGCUGGGACCCCUGGCUGAGAUCAAGUGGGGGGCAGUAGAUGGGAACCUGCCUGUUUCACACUCGGAUCAUCCAAGGGAAGACACGAACGUUCUGCACACACAACAUAGUAUAAGCACAAAACUUGCCUUAAUGUGUCUUCCAAGCUAUGCGGGACCCCUUCCUUGAAAAUUUCAAGAGACAGAUGGCUGGUGUUUCUGUUGUGCUCCAUGGCUCUGAGAAAUCCUGUGUCUGUGUAGGGCUGUUGAGAUGCCAGCUCUGGAUGGUAACAUCGGUGAGCCUGGAAGGCUUUGCCUUGGAAGCAUGGGGCCUGUGUCUACUGAGCUUCUCUUUUGGGUCCUCCAGCACUUGAUGAUUCUGAGAACACAUGUUCCUUUACUUUAGGGAGCAACCUCAAAAAUGGACCCUUCUUCUUCGCUCUGGCAUGGUGGUGAUUCUGUUGGGAGGCGCCUUGGGCCAGAUAUAUCCUAUUCUGGAGGCUCACAGGCAGGCCCAGCACUGAGAGAAACCCUGCCUGGCCCGACAAGCCUUCUCCUGAGGGUGGCUUCUCCUGUGGCUACAGGAUCAUCUAUAUUGGUCAAACGGAUGGUACAAGAUGUUUUAAAAAGAUAUUGGGAUUGGUUUGACUGAAAGAGAGGCUGUGAAGGACUGGGGUGCUCAUUAAGAGUCUCAGAAUCAAGGAAGGUUGUUAUGGAGACAGGCUGAUCACUGCCGUGGGAAAGGCUGGGGUGAGGCAGGUGGAUCACUGCCGUGGGAAAGGCUGGGGUGAGGCAGGUGGAUCACUGCUGUGGGAAAUGCUGAUCUGAGGCCCAUAUGCAUGGCCCCUGUUGUCAUGGUGGGGGUGGUGGGGAGACACAGAGUUGAGCCAGGCAAUGGGAAAGGGCAGAAAGCAGAUAUGGGAGUUGAGAGCCGGGGCUGAGCCAGCAGAACUGGGAGCAGGAGCGCUGUUAGAAAGUGGUUUGAUCUGGGGCUCAAGCCAACUGAGUUGGUCAACACUAAGAGCCAGCAGGCUUCACCUUCUUCAUCUUUAUUCAUUCAACAGACAUUUUUGGAGUAUUUACUACAUGCCAGGUGCUAUUCUAGGCACUCAUCAGUGAGUGGUCAGUGAAACAGACAAAAAUCCCAACCCCAACAGGGUUUUACCUUCUAGUGGAGCAGCCAGGCAAUAAGCAGAUCACUUAGACACUCAGGAUGUCAGAUGGUUCCAAGUUCUGGGGAGGGGCAUAGGAAUGGUGGUGGUGCUACAAUUUAAAACAGAGGGGUCAGGUUAGCCUUUGUGAGAUGAUGCUCCAGCAAAGAACUAACUGGGAGAGGGCUGGGGUCAUGGGGACACCUAGGGGAAGAUCAAGGCAGAAGGAGCAGCUAGGGCAGCACCCAUGGGCCUGGUGUGCUGGAGACCAAGGAGGGGCCUGUAAGACUGGAAUGGGGUGAUCGAGAGGCGACCGCAGGGAUGAGGUCUGAGGUGUCAGAAGCCAGAGCACGCUGGGCCUUGCAAUCUUUGUAAGGGCUUUCUAGGUGGAAUGGGAGGUCGCAGGCAGGAUGGAACAGAAGAGGGGUAUCAUCUGCAGGCUCUUACAGGAUCCCUCUGGCUGCUGUGCUGAGAAUAUGUUAAAUUUGAGAUGAUCUGCUUAGAUUAAGUCCUGACUCUGUCAUUGUCACUGGACCGAGAAGGUCUUCAUGACUACCAGACUAUCUCAACUCUCAACACUAGGAUUUGAACAUCUUUAGGAAAAUGUUGAAUUGAAUGUGUCACAAAUUUGUCAAAAUGAGCAAACUUAUCAAGACACAGACUCAGCUCAAAGUGAAUAUGACCUUGCCCCACUGCCCUCCCUGGCGUUAGGGACACCAACCACUGCCAACUCCAACCCCUGGCUCCCACCCUAGUCAAAUUCUCCCAGGUCCCUGGAGCUUUUCUUGGGACUCCAGGGCCUCACAGCCACGGACUGUGGGCUGGCCAUGCAGCUCUCCACUCCACCACGAGGGGGCCUUGUUCAGUCCACUGCACCACCCACCACCAUCGGCUAGCUUCCUGCAGCCUCUGCUUUUCCCUCCUGCCCACCGGUGGCUCUCCAGGGAGCGUCCUCUGCAGGCCCUCUUCCGAACUGAAGGAAUCUGCGUAAAACCUCCUGGUGCCUAACUCAGAUCUGCUCAAGCUCCAGGAACUCCAGCUCCCUGACACUACCUCUUGGAGCAUGCCAACCCCAGAGAUUAGCAGCACCUAUCAUCUCCCUGGUUUUCUUGGGAGUUUUCAUUUAAGACCUGCCCAUUAGACCUAAGAAUGCUCCUCAUUGAUUCUCCCAUGAUCCCCAAACCAGGAAGGUCGGUGAUAAGCCGACCUUCUCCCAUGAUCCCCAAACCAGGAAGGUCGGUGAUAAGCCCCAGGGGCGUGUCACUCUUCGGCGGCCUCCCUCUCUAGGAGGAGGAAGAUACAAGAGGUAGAAUAGUUCACACUCCUUCCUGGUGGUCCAGCAGAUUGGCCAUGGGGGUCUCAAUGUUGUGAGAGGGGCUGGGACUAUGCGCCCCUCACAGUCCGUUCCCGCUUCAACAUUUACAUCGUCUGUGUGAUGUCACUUGUUGGUGAAUGGGAACUGAUUGUCUUGUUUGGCCGGGGUGGGUCUGGAGGUAUCUUUAGGGACACUCCUAGCUGAGUUUUUUCCACACCACUGACAACCAUGCUUUGUGAGUUACCGUCUGAGGAGAGAUCUGACCUGGCAGAAUCAAAGGACAUGGGUUUAGGAAAGGAUCCAAAUUACAUUGAGGGCGAUCCCACUGCUGUUCCAAACAGUCAAAUACCCCCUUUUGAUUGAAUAGGUUUGUUAUUAAAAAUGCAUUUAAAAAAAUGAAAUCGAAAGCAAAUCCCUUCAAAUAAAAUUUCAGCCUUGUCUUAAAUCCAGUUUA